UUUCUUCGGAUUGAUUCUUAAUUGACUGAGCGGCGGACGGGUGAGUAACGCGUGGGUGACCUCGCCCAGUACCGGGGGAUAACAGCUGGAAACGGCUGCUAAUACCGCAUAAGCGCACAGAGCUGCAUGGCUCGGUGUAGAAAAACUCCGGUGGUAUGAGAUGGACCCGCGUCUGAUUAGCUUGUUGGCGGGGUAAUGGCCCACCAAGGCGACGAUCAGUAGCCGGUCUGAGAGGUUGAACGGCCACAUUGGGACUGAGACACGGCCCAAACUCC
rnacentral:rRNA from 1 species